rnacentral:lncRNA from 1 species
GUAUAACCCCAGGAUUCUGCACUUGCCCAAGGGCGAGGUGCAAAUCAAAAACUACGCACAACUGAACACCGAGAUCAGGAUCCCGACUCAGAUUGAAAAAGCAGAGGAUGGUCACUGCCUUCCAGGUCUGAGGCUGUCUCCCAGAAACUUCAUUCCUCGCUUCGCCUUGGUUCUCCAUCACUUUCUGAGUCCUACAGGAGGAAAGUGCUAUUGAAGAUGAGGCGCGUAUGGCGUGAAGUUCUGGGGCUGGGAGAAGCUGCCCCGCUACUUCCGGGUGGCCUUGCCUGCAGGGAGCAGUUCACAACCUAGUGCUGUCCACUUGCAUGGGAUGUUUCUUUUCCAUCACAAUGCUCUGAGAUAACGAAGUCGAGGGAAGUUUGUGCAGCCCUCCAGACCCUCCAGAUUUCAAAGGAAAGCCCACCGCUGCUGGUCUGGGGGAGCUGAUGGCCUAUUCAUGGAUGAGAUGGACUAAGGACAGUGGGAAGCACAAUGGACCAACAGUAUUGUUGGAGGGGACUGCGUGAGGAAGCAGGAGCCUAAACAACACUCUCCAGAUACUGCGUGAA